GGUCCAAUGAGUGAGUAUAGUAACAAAACACCCUUAAACCAUUUAUUCAUCAUACAAUGUAACAGAACAAAAGUGGAAACACACCUAACUCUAAUACUAGCUUCCCCAGCCCCGUGCAAUUAAGAAAAUUCCACCAGAAAUCCAUGGUUCUCAUAACCGUAAAAAAAAUAAUUUAACGAACAUACAAGAUAUACAACUUCAAACGUAGACAGUUAAUAAGUUGGCUUCCCUUACCUUAGAUAAAUCCUAGCUUUCUUUCUUUGCCCAAGAUUGAGAACCCAAAACUUUCACCUCCUUCACGUUAACGUUCUUGCUUCCAAGAAAACUCCAAAAUACUCUUUUGAUUUUACUAUCUCCUACUGCACACACUACUUUAUCCUCUUUCCGUUAAACUCUGCAUUCCCUCAAUUUUUCCAGAGCCCCUCCCUUAAAUAAACCACCCAAUCCACUAACCCCUAUUUGUUGCCUUUCUUUUCGGGAAAGUGGUUCCAAAACUCACCUUAGAUAUUUUAAUUAUGCUGUUACCCAAAUUUUAAAAUGAGCUAAGUGGCCCCACAAUAAAUAUUUAAAAUAUAACAGUCAAACAAACAAAACAUAUAUGAAAAUACAGGCCACACUAUAUACAUUAAACAGUAAAUUAAUAAAACAAAUAAUUUAUUUAUUUAUUCAACAAAAUUAGAGCACCAAAAAAAAUCAUUAACUCCACAAGGAGCUAUCACUAAUGGGCUACAGACAUGAAUUUCCACUAAUCUUAAAGGUAGACCAAGAUACAGUUUUAUAAUUA
rnacentral:lncRNA from 1 species